GCUAGCUCGAGAAGCGCUUCCCAUCAUCACCCUGAAGAUGUCAAAAGAUUUUCUUAUCUUUCCGAACAGGAUAUUUGAGUUGUUUUGUGACUCAAAGUUAGCCGAAGCAUCGGUCGGCCUCACGCUUGAGCUGCCAAAUCUGCAUCUUUCUUGAUGUAUUAUCAGGAUUUUUUUUUUGGGGGGGGGGGUUGAUUUUGGAAUUUGAUUUCCAGAGUUCAUGCUAAGCUAACUAGCGCAACUUUUCUUCAAAUUUAUUUUCAGAGCUGGGGGGCGGGGGGGGUUC